GACAGAGGGUGCAAACGUUGUUCGGAAUUACUGGGCGUAAAGCGCAUGUAGGCGGCCUGUCAGGUCGGAUGUGAAAUCCCUCGGCUCAACCAAGGAAGUGCAUUCGAAACCGACAGGCUCGAGUCCCGGAGAGGGUGAUGGAAUUCUCGGCGUAGAGGUGAAAUUCGUAGAGUUCGGGAGGAACACCGGUGGCGAAAGCGGUCACCUGGACGAGGACUGACGCUGAGAUGCGAAAGCGUGGGGAGCAAACAGG
rnacentral:rRNA from 1 species